UACGGGGGGGGGCAAGCGUUGUUCGGAAUUACUGGGCGUAAAGGGCUCGUAGGUGGCCAACUAAGUCAGACGUGAAAUCCCCAGGCUCAACUUGGGAACUGCGUCUGAUACUGGAUGGCUUGAGUUCGGGAGAGGGAUGCGGAAUUCCAGGUGUAGCGGUGAAAUGCGUAGAUAUCUGGAGGAAUACCGGUGGCGAAGGCGGCAUCCUGGACCGAAACUGACGCUGAGGUGCGAAAGCGUGGGGAGCAAACAGG
rnacentral:rRNA from 1 species